rnacentral:rRNA from 1 species
UACGAAGGGGGCUAGCGUUGUUCGGAAUUACUGGGCGUAAAGCGUGCGCAGGCGGCUUCUCAAGUCAGGGGUGAAAGCCCAGAGCUCAACUCUGGAAUUGCCUUUGAGACUGAGUGGCUUGAGUACGAGAGAGGUGAGUGGAAUUCCCCAGUGUAGAGGUGAAAUUCGUAGAUAUUGGGAAGAACACCGGUGGCGAAGGCGGCUCACUGGCUCGUAACUGACGCUGAUGCACGAAAGCUAGGGGAGCAAACAGG